UACAGAGGGUGCGAGCGUUAAUCGGAAUUACUGGGCGUAAAGCGUGCGUAGACGGUUAUUUAAGUCGGGUGUGAAAGCCCCGGGCUCAACCUGGGGAUUGCAUUCGAGACUGAAUAGCUAGGGUACGGUAGAGGGAAGUGGAAUUCCUGGUGUAGCGGUGAAAUGCGCAGAUAUCAGGAGGAACACCUAUUGCGAAGGCAGCUCGCUGGGACGUUACUGACGCUGAGACGCGAAAGCGUGGGGAGCAAACGGG
rnacentral:rRNA from 1 species